rnacentral:lncRNA from 1 species
AGCAAAAAGGACCAAAAACUUUAUUUCCUCCUUCAGUGACUCAUCAAACAUGGAUUGAGGUACUGGGAUGGGCAGCGUUACUUGCUGACGGUGUGGGGAUGGAGAGCCGUGUCUGGGGAUGGAGAGCCGUGUCUGCUUCCUGGACUCUUCCAAGCUGGCUGAGAAAACCCCAUUGGGGCUCAGAUGUCCCCUCUGAAUGCCUGUGGCACAUGCUCUACCUUCUGACUGCUGUAGUCCCUGCCUUGCUUCUAAUGAGCAAAGACACUAAUGUGGCCCAUCAGCCAGUAGUCUUUAGAUUAAAUGUCCCAACCUCAGCAGGGGGCGCAGAGGAGUUCCUAUGACUGUGAGACUUGGGGUACACUAAGCUAAUGGUAGAAUUGGAGCUCGAAGUGUGCUUAUUUUUAAGAAAGGCCUCCAUGCCUGGCAGUGGUGGCUCACACCUUUAAUCUCAACGCUCAGGAGGUAGAGGCAGGCAGAUCUCUGUGAGUUCAAGGUAGGCUUGGUCUACAACGCAAGUUCAGGAUAGCUAGGGCUACACAGAGAAACCCUGUCUCCAAAAAGCAAGAGAAAGGAAGGAAGGAAGGAAGGAAGGAAGGAAGGAAGGAAGGAAGGAAGGAAGGAAGGAGAAAGAAAGGAGGAAGGAAGGAGAAAAUAAAGAAAAGAAAAGAAGAGAAAAGAAAAGAAAAGAAAAGAAAAGGAAGAAGGAAGGAAGGAAAGGAAAGGAGAGGAGAGGAGAGGAGAGGAGAGGAGAGGAGAGGAGAGGAGAGGAGAGGAGAGGAGAGGAGAGGAGAGGAGAGGAGAGGAAAGGAAAGGAAAGGAAAGGAAAGGAAAGGAAAGGAAAGGAAAGGAAAGGUCUCCAUGCUUUCUGAAGAAUUGGAAUUUUCAGGACGAAUGUAAAGUCCCUGAAGAACAGUGUUCAGAGACAGUGUUUGGGGAAGACACUUCUCUAUUGACUUGAGUUUCUCUGGAAGUGUGGGUGGUAUGGUGUAUUAGUCAGGGUUCUCUAGAGUCACAGAACUUAUGGAUAGUCUCUAUAUAGUAAAGGAAUUUAUUGAUGACUUACAGUCCGCAGCCCAAUUCCCAACAAUGGUUCAGUCGUAGCUAUGAAUGGAAGUCCAAGGAUCUAGCAGUUACUCAGUCUCACACAGCAAGCAGGCGAAGGAGCAAGAGCAAGACUCCCUUCUUCUAAUGUCUUUAUAUUGUCUCCAGCAGAAGGUGUAGCCCAGAUUAAAGGUGCGUUCCACCACACCUUUAAUCCCAGAUGACCUUGAACUCGGAGAUUUAAUCUUCUGGAAUCCAUAGCCACUAUGGCUCAAGAUCUCCAUACCAAGAUCCAGAUCAGAAACUUCUAUCUCCAAGCCUCCAGAUAAGGGUCACUGGUGAGCCUUCCAAUUCUGGAUUGUAGUUCAUUCCAAAUAUAGUCAAGUUGACAACCAGGAAUAGCCACUACAUAUGGUUAAUCUUGUGUGACCCACGUUUUCCUGGACACAUCUUCUGACCCCCACCCUGUGUGAGCCUCUGAGAACCCGUGUACAGAACAAUAAGUUCCAGGGGUGUUGGCGGUGUGCAUCUAAACAGGUGCCAGGGACCUUGAGGAGCCCAUCAGCAGGGAGGCACUUCCGCACACAAAGCUUCCAGCAGGCCAGGCACUAGUCAAUGCCUGAGCCAAUGCAGGGGAGCGCUGUAAUGGAGGCUCAGAGGUCCAGCUGAGAGCCAUAGUGUGAGUACCACCGGUGCCUGGGUGUUCUGCAGGGAAAGGACUCAUGUGAGGCAGGAUAUCGAUUAAAACUGGAGGGAGGUGUUUGCACUAGCCAGUGGGGGCAAUCUCUGAGUGAGAGUAGAGAAAAUGAAGUGAGAGGGGCGUGACUACAGGCUGAGGGCGGAGCACUAUUGAUAGACAAGGGCCCAAUCUAUAAACAGAUGGUGAGCAUGUGCUGUGUCGUGAUGCUAACGAUGAACCACUCAUAGGCUGGUGGUCCCAUAUGAUCAUAAGGGGGCUGAAAAACUCCUAUCACCGGAGUGUUUUUAUGGGCGAAUUUCCACAUCGAAGUCUAUACGCAAGCAUAUAUGCCUAACACAAGCAGAGGUACAGCAAUGCACCGCUCUGAUUAGCACCUGGGUAUGUUGCAGGUUGCAUAUCCUGGGUUGCAGAGGUGCCCUGACACAUCCACACAAAGAUGAAAUAAUACUAGACACGUUCUCAUAUCCUAUUCCAGACCUCAAGGGACUCCACCCAGCUGCCCAGCCCUACCUGAACCCUGCCACCCCCACCUCCAGGGGUUGGGCCACCAAGAGACUCCCUUCUCCCCUAUCCUCCGCACACUUUGCUCAGUACACCCGUGUUUCUGUGGGAGCCCUUUCCUUCUCUCACAUAGACCUCAAUAGUUUUCCCAGGCUCCCAAGAAGAGGGGGAGGGGAGUUAGUGAAGGGGGAGCCAGAGAGCAGUCCUCAUGGGGUGACAACAGAGAAGUGCAAAAGGUUGGGAAUCAGGAAAGCAGGCCUGGAGGUGUCAUCGCACCUAAGUGUGACUCCCUUCUCUGCAUUUGCAUGUGCCUGUAGUUUUCCAUAAGAAAAAGUUGGGGGUGGGGGCGGGGAGGAAAGAAGGUAUUUGGGACUGGGAAAGAACUCUUAGUUACCAUGCAAGACCUGGGUUUGAUCUCUAACAAGCUGGGGUGGGGGUGGGGUAUUUUUUAAAAACUGUGAGUUUUCAACAAUGCCUCAUUGCUGCCAGUUAAUGAAAGAAAUAUAUAUUAUUUGCCAUAGUAAAACAAAGCAAGACUACACACAUCUCUGGUUCUGGUUUUUCCUCCUCUCUCUCAUCCCAUCUCCAAUCUUGGACCAUUAUUAUCUGGUAUCCCCCUUCCCUCGCUUUACCCCGUUCCUGGCACCUUCUUUAUCUGCUCUGAGCACACAUGGAUGAGGGUCCCUCCCGCCUCUCUUCACCUAAGCUUUGCCUUGCUCCCAGCUCCCGAGAUGAGGGAGUUUGCUAGUUAUCUUACUUAUAAAUGAUCCCCUUGAGCACCCUAUAUUAAAUAAUCAUAUAUUAAUCCUAUAUUAAAUAAUCCUCAUGUGUGUGUGUGUGUGUGUGUGUGUGUGUGUGUGUGUGUGUGUGUGUGUAUAGGGGGUGUUCCUAGCCUUUUCAUGCAUCUCUGGCAUUUUGAAAAGAAGUAGCUAAAGGAUUGUUGGGAAAGAUGCUGAAUAAAGGUUAGGCAGAGAGAGCACAUUUCAGGUGUAAAUUUCAGAUGAUUCUGAGCCAGACCUCAGGGUGAUGGGACAGUAAGGUCAAAAGGCAAGUCAAAAGGCAAGCCAAAAGGCAAGCCAGAAAGCAGCCAGGACAGCAGAGUUCUGGGUAAAGCCUUGGCCCGGGGCUGGGGUGGGGGCACUCAGCAUCUGUGUUCUAACCGGCCUUCCCUUCAGGACUACCCAUUUCCAUGCCAGGGAAAUAAGAUUCCUUCUGACCUGCUUUGCCCAGCUGUUUCGGCUUGCCGCCUGCCGUGCCCUUCUCCCUGACCGCCUGCUUUGAUUCUCCUCCAUGUUGAUUUUUUUUUUGUGGGCCUCCAAAGCUUUUAGUGUGUCCAGUGCCUUCACCAUGGUCUCCCUGGUACGGGAUCUUUGAACUCACACACAGCCUCAGGUAGUGACUGGCCUUCUUAGCAUCUGGAGGAGGCUCCUCAAAAGCCCAUGGCAGAUCAACUGCCCUGCAGAAUGGCAGCCUCAAAUGAAGUUAUCUAAAGACAGGUGUCACACAGACAACCCUAGCCCUUGGGAGGCUGAGGCAGGAAGAUGGUUAGAGGCCAGGGACGUGUUUACUAUUGGUGAAUGUAUUUCUGUUGUGUGCUUACUUAAGCCACCACUUUGUUUCAUUCUACUGUUUGUUUAUAUUUUACGGGUCUGGGUGUUUUGCCUGCAUGCAUGCUUGGGCAUCACACGUAUCAGUCUCCCUAGAGAUCAAAAGAAGGGUGCUGGAUCCCCCAGAAUUGGAGCCCUAGGUGGUUGUGAGCCGACAUGUGGGUGCUGGGAGUCCUACUCUGGUUCUCUGGCUCGUUUUAUGUCAACUUGACACAAGCUAGAGACAUCGGAGAGGAGGGAACCUCAAUGGAGAAAAUGCCUCCAAAAGAUCUGGCUGUAGGACAUCUUCUUAAUUAGUAAUCGAUGGGAGAGGGCUCUGCCCAUUGUGGGUGGGGCCACCCUGGGCUGGUGGUCCUGGGUUCUAGAAGAAAGCAGGCUGAGCACGCCAUGGGGAGCAAGCCAGGAAGCAGCACCCCUGCAUGGCCUGUGCAUCAGCUCCUGCCUCCAGGUUCCUGCCCCGCUUGAGUUCCUGUCCUGGCUUCCUCCAGUGAUGGGCUUGAUCUGGAAGAGUAAGCCGAAUAAACCCCACUCUCCCCAGAUUGCUUCAGGCCAUGGUGUUUCAUCACAGCAGUAGACACCCUAAGACAAGCAGCCAGUCACCUUGAGCACCGAGUCCCUCCAUGAAGCUUUCGGCUUCUGCAUUUAACCUAGCUUGACGCCUAUUUACUUGCAAUCCUCUUCUUACUCCUGUUAAAUCAGUAGAGAGUGAACUCUGGAGUGUUUCCCUCUCUUAAUAUAAAGUCCAGCCUAACCUGGUUUCAUCCCUCUUCUGGACAGAUUCCCUAACUUCUGGACCUUAUUGUUUCCAUCUGUAAAAUGGGCACAGUCAUUGUAAACCCCCUCAUAGAGUUGUAAAGACCAAAAGAAUCACUACAUAAUGUGUCCAGUAUCAUGUCUAGCACGAGCAUGGUUAGCUUCUAGCUAUUAAUGUUGUUUCAGGAUACUUGGGACUCCUCUGUCUCAGUGCUUGUCUCUGUGUGUUUAAUUUUGCCUCAGUUUUAGAGGUAAAGUCUUGUGUAGCCCAAACUGGUGUCCAGCUCACAGACCCUGCCUCAGCCUCACAAAUGCUGGGAUCACAGAUAUGCACAUCAUGUCUGGCUGGAUUUUAAGUAUUUUCUCUACUGCCCGCCCCCCGCCAGUGGAUUUGCAAACGCUUGAGUCUUGCUGUAAGUCAACCCUAAAAUCUUCUUUUGUUCUUUGAAGUCACAGGACUACCAUAAACUGCCUAGCUGGUGCUAUCCUGUAGCGUGUAUUUGCUGAGGGUGAAUUGGUCCCCUUUCUGGAAGUAUAUAACAUCUUUGUCCUGCUGACAGAGAGAGCCAACACCAGGUGUAGGACCGACUGGAAGGUGAAAGACGGAGAAUUGCACAUUGUAUCCAAAUGGGUCUGGCGAGGAUGAACAAACAUGUGUAUAGUUUGUACAUCCUAUCACAAUAAAGCUGUUUUGUUUUUUUUGUUUUGGGUUUUUUUGUAUUGUUUUGUUUUGUUUUGUUUUGAAGACAGGGUUUCUCUGUGUAGCUCUGGCUGUCCUGGAACUCACUCUGUAGACCAGGCUGGCCUCGAACUCUGAAAUCCACCUGCCUCCGCCUCCCAAGUGCUGGGAUUAAAGGCACCACUGCUGCCUCGGGAAUACACUGAAUUAUUAACAGGAAUAACCACAGGAGAUUGUUAGGUCUCAGACUCAGGACAGAUGACUCCUGAGGUGCCUAUUUAACUGAGGUGUCCCCCACCUCACCCCACACCCCAGUCUCUCUGGGCUUUACCAGCACCUGUUAGAGUCCGGGCUCCUCUGAGCACUUCUCACCCUGCCCCACCCCAUAGCCUCUCCUGCCCGAGCUUCUCUUCUAUCCCCAGCUUCUCUUCCCUAUGGAACCUCCACCAUUUUGGCUUGAGGUCUCUGGGCUCCUGGGCUCUCUCUCCUUCUCCUCCUCCCUCUCCCUCUCUCCCCUGUCACCUCCCUGUCCUCUCAUGUCUGCGUUUAGUCUGGACCCUUCCAGAUGCCCCUGACUCUGCUCUUCUCCUUCAUGUCUACAAUAGACUUCCCCUCAACCAUACACAGGAGCUGUCAUGUCCUCUAUUAUUUAUUAUUUAUUUAUCUUUGAUUCAGACAUACCUGAGUGGGGAGUGGCCUUAAGAGGAACUGGCUUGGAUGACCACGAUGGGACCCAGCUGUAAUCCCCAAACUCAGGAGGCCGAGGCAGGAGGAUUGCAAGUUUGAGGUUAGCCUGGGCUACACACUGAGACUCUCCAUUAAAAUGGGGAGGUGGGUUGGCAAGAUGGCUCAGUGAGUAGAGGUGCUUGCUGCACAAGCCAGAAGACCUGAGUUCAAUCCCUGGAACCCCGUCAAAGUGAAAGGAGAACCAACUCCGCCUGCAUUCGUCCACCGCAUCGCGGCUCCUAGACCCCGCCUACACACACACACACACACACACACACCGGAGAGAUUUUAAAGGGAAGAGUUGAGAAAGAUCAUUCAAUAGAUAAAAUUGUGUGUUUCAAAAACAUAAGGCCCAGAGUUCAGCUUCCCAGGACCUACGUAAAGCUAGCAUGGCCACAGUCUUGGUGCUCCUAAGGUGCCCUGGCAGUGUCCCAGAGCCUGGCCCAUGCAGCAGAUUACAGAGACCCCCGUGUCAGGGUGGAAAGCUAGGACCAACCCCUGAGACCAUCUCCAGGUUACAGCAUCCGCAUGCUCCUCCUCUCACACAGGCACACCCGCUUGUCAAGGAAAAACAGGACAGCCCUCCAUCUGAAUUCGGCUUACCCUGUAUCUUUCAUCCGUUUCGUUUACUGCCAGGUUCCCGGUACCUAGAGCGGCGCCUGCAUGCGGCAGACCUAGGGAAUAUUUAUGGAGAACGUAAGUCAAUUGUAUUCUCGUGAAGGAUAUUUUAGAUAUGACAAACAAACGAAGGGAGCAAUACCUUGAUCGGGUCGGGCAAGGCUGACUCAACCCUUCCUCUCGGCUUUAAAAUCCACUUGGAGGCCAGCGUAGGGAGUGCUACUUUCCAGCAACUUGAGAGCUAUUCUUGGAAUACCCUGAAUGGAUCCUGGCUUUCAAGAUGCACGUUCGGAUUCUGAUUUUUUUUGGCUGCGGGGUUUGGCUGCAGAAUUUGGCUAUAAAAGGAGUUCCCACAGUCUAUCUUCUAAUCAGUCUGCUACGAAGCACGGAUAGGAGCUUCUUUCUCUUAUAUGUGAAACUGAAGUGUCAGAACUGAAGCACGGCGCUCAGUAAUAGCUUGGCUAAUAUUUAUCACCACCUUUAAGUUACCUGGCUGAAAUUUACCUGGCCUGAUGGAUGUUGGUCUUAGACGGUGAUGGACGUCUUAGACAUACAGUGAUGGAGAUCUGUCAUGGACAGUAAUGGAGGUCUUAGGCAGGGAUGGAGGGCGAUAUAUUGGUUGUUUGGAACCCUAGUUAAAAUCUGUGUUUCUACACAUACUCAAACCAUUUUCUUUUGCCUGUAACUGUUGUAGGCUCGUGAAGAUAAAAAUACUUGUUGGGGCUGGAGAGAUGGCUCAGCGGUUAAGAGCACUGACUGCCUUUACAGAGGUCCUAAGUUCAAUUCCCAGCAACCACACAGUAGCUCACAACCAUCAGUAAUGGAAUCUGAUGUCCUCUUCUGGUGCGUCGAGAAUAAAUGAGAUAAAUAAUCUUUUUUAAAAAAAUACCUGUGGAUUCAUAUCUUAAAUGCUUAUUAGUGUCACUCAAAUUUAGUGGUUGAAUUGGGUCACUAAACAUGUUAUGAUUAUGUGCGCUAUCUGACAUACUGCCUAUAUGUAUAUGUGGGUGGAAAUUCUUAACUUUUUAUUUACUAUGCUUAUAAGCUUAAAGAGUAUCUUUUCAAAUCUUUUGAUUAUAUUUAGAGCCAGUGUGAUUGUGUAUGGUGUGUGUGUGUGUGUGUGUGUGUGUGUGUGUGUGUGUGUGUGUGUAUGCGUGUAUGUGUGUGCACAUAUGCGCGAGCGCAUGCCCUGGCACAUAUGUGGAGAUCAGAAAUCUUUUUUUUUUCUUUUUAAGGGGAUGGGACAAGAUCUGUCUGUGUAGCCUUGGCUGUCUUGGAACUUGCUCUGUAAUCUAGGCUGGCCCCAACUCAAAUCUGCCUUCCUCUGCCUCCUGAGUGCUGGGAUUAAAGGCAUGCGCCACCAUGGCACAACUCAGAGGUUAGUUUUUGAGGGUCACCUCUUACUCCUUCCACCAUGGAAUCCAGGGACCAAACUCAUGUCUUCUGGUCGGCACAGCAGGCUCUUUUGCCCAUUCAACCUUCUUUACUAGCCAUAAAACAUCUCUAUUUUAACCUUGGCUUUCCUUUAAAGCAAGGGCUUGCAAACAUUUUGGAGACCAUGACAAGCCCUCUAACUAUCUGAUAUUUGCAGAUGGUUUCAGCCCUGGGUUAGAAACUUCUAAGCCAUGCAAAUGCUGGGAUACCAAAAUACCUCUGAGAUCAAGUUUCCAUACAUGUAUUUCGUGUCAAGUGAGUAUCUUGGCCAAGACUCUUAGCGUUUAUGUUGCUGGUGAUUUUCCACUUAGCCUGUGGUCCUUGAGCUAUCCAUUCCUUUAUCUUAUUCCUGGGUCUCAAUGAAGUCCUCAAGAGCACUUCAGAUUAUUGGCAGAUGCAUUUAAAAUUCAACUUAAGCCAGUCACUGUGGCUGGGGCACAGUUUACUCUGGUUUGGUUUUGUUUGUGUUUGUUUAAGUGAAUUCAGUAACUCUAUUUCUGGAACUAUCCAGACCAGGUCAUUGCAAAAUGAUUUGAGGUGAUUAUCACAGUCAACUUCGGUUGUCA